rnacentral:rRNA from 1 species
GACGAACGCUGGCGGCGUGCUUAACACAUGCAAGUCGAACGAUGAUGCCAGCUUGCUGGUGGAUUAGUGGCGAACGGGUGAGUAACACGUGAGCAACCUGCCCCUGACUUCGGGAUAACCGCGGGAAACCGUGGCUAAUACCGGAUAUGACGCGCUAUCGCAUGGUGGUGUGUGGAAAGAUUUAUCGGUUGGGGAUGGGCUCGCGGCCUAUCAGCUUGUUGGUGGGGUGAUGGCCUACCAAGGCGACGACGGGUAGCCGGCCUGAGAGGGUGACCGGCCACACUGGGACUGAGACACGGACCAGACUCCUACGGGAGGCAGCAGUGGGGAAUAUUGCACAAUGGGCGCAAGCCUGAUGCAGCGACGCCGCGUGAGGGAUGACGGCCUUCGGGUUGUAAACCUCUUUCAGUAGGGAAGAAGGCCUUCGGGUUGACGGUACCUGCAGAAGAAGCGCCGGCUAACUACGUG